AUUGAACGCUGGCGGCAUGCCUUACACAUGCAAGUCGAACGGUAGCGGGCCUUCGGGUGCCGACGAGUGGCAAACGGGUGAGUAAUGUAUCGGAACGUACCUUUCAGUGGGGGAUAACGUAGCGAAAGUUACGCUAAUACCGCAUAUUCUGUGAGCAGGAAAGCAGGGGAUCGCAAGACCUUGCGCUGAUUGAGCGGCCGAUAUCAGAUUAGCUAGUUGGUGAGGUAAAGGCUCACCAAGGCGACGAUCUGUAGCGGGUCUGAGAGGAUGAUCCGCCACACUGGGACUGAGACACGGUCCAGACUCCUACGGGAGGCAGCAGUGGGGAAUUUUGGACAAUGGGGGCAACCCUGAUCCAGCCAUGCCGCGUGAGUGAAGAAGGCCUUCGGGUUGUAAAGCUCUUUCGGCCGGGAAGAAAUCGUAUCAGCUAAUACCUGGUGCGGAUGACGGUACCGGCAUAAGAAGCACCGGCUAACUACGUGCCAGCCGCCGCAGUAAGAC
rnacentral:rRNA from 1 species